CCUACGGGGUCUGCAGUGGGGAAUAUUGGACAAUGGGCGAAAGCCUGAUCCAGCCAUGCCGCGUGUGUGAAGAAGGCCUUCGGGUUGUAAAGCACUUUCAGUGGGGAAGAAAGCCUUGGGGCUAAUACCCUCGAGGAAGGACAUCACCCACAGAAGAAGCACCGGCUAACUCCGUGCCAGCAGCCGCGGUAAUACGGAGGGUGCGAGCGUUAAUCGGAAUUACUGGGCGUAAAGCGCGCGUAGGCGGUCUGAUAAGCCGGUUGUGAAAGCCCCGGGCUCAACCUGGGAACGGCAUCCGGAACUGUCAGGCUAGAGUGCAGGAGAGGAAGGUAGAAUUCCCGGUGUAGCGGUGAAAUGCGUAGAGAUCGGGAGGAAUACCAGUGGCGAAGGCGGCCUUCUGGACUGACACUGACGCUGAGGUGCGAAAGCGUGGGUAGCAAACAGGAUUAGAUACCCGAGUAGUC
rnacentral:rRNA from 1 species